rnacentral:rRNA from 1 species
AUACGGAGGAUCCGAGCGUUAUCCGGAUUUAUUGGGUUUAAAGGGUGCGCAGGCGGCCAUUUAAGUCAGCGGUUAAAUCGUGGGGCUCAACCCCAUUCUGCCGUUGAUACUGGGUGGCUUGAUUGCGGUCGAGGUUGGCGGAAUUCGUUGUGUAGCGGUGAAAUGCACAGAUAUGACGAAGAACACCGAUUGCGUAGGCAGCUGACCAGACCGCAAAUGACGCUCAUGCACGAAAGUGCGGGGAUCGAACAGGAUUAGAUACCCUGGUAGUCCGCACAGUAAACGAUGAAUACUUGUUUUCGGCGAUAUAAUGUCGGAGGCAAAGCGAAAGCGAUAAGUAUUCCACCUGGGGAGUACGCCGGCAACGGUGAAACUCAAAUGAAUUGACGGGG